GAUGAACGCUGGCGGCGUGCCUAAUACACGCAAGUCGAGCGAAUGGAUUAAGAGCUUGCUCUUAUGAAGUUAGCGGCGGACGGGUGAGUAACACGUGGGUAACCUGCCCAUAAGACUGGGAUAACUCCGGGAAACCGGGGCUAAUACCGGAUAACAUUUUGAACCGCAUGGUUCGAAAUUGAAAGGCGGCUUCGGCUGUCACUUAUGGAUGGACCCGCGUCGCAUUAGCUAGUUGGUGAGGUAACGGCUCACCAAGGCAACGAUGCGUAGCCGACCUGAGAGGGUGAUCGGCCACACUGGGACUGAGACACGGCCCAGACUCCUAUGGGAGGCAGCGGUAGGGAAUCUUCCGCAAUGGACGAAAGUCUGACGGAGCAACGCCGCGUGAGUGAUGAAGGCUUUCGGGUCGUAAAACUCUGUUGUUAGGGAAGAACAAGUGCUAGUUGAAUAAGCUGACACCUUGACGGUACCUAACCAGAAAGCCACGGCUAACUACGUGCCAGCAGCCGCUGUAA
rnacentral:rRNA from 1 species